GUGUCGGUGCCCUGCUCUCCUCUGGGCGCCAGGAUGUUCCUGCCCAGUGCGUGUCCAGAAUAGCCGCUCAGACACCGGCUCCAGAAGAACUAGGUAGCCUGUUCCCACUCAGAAACUCAUUCCACAUGGUUUGGGUGGUCCUACCACUGCCCUCACCCGCGUCAACAAAGGAGUGGGAACCGAACUCAGGCCCUGCCCAUCAGAUCAUCGAAUUCCUCUGGCCACAGUGAUUGGGUUGUGAUCAGUUAGGAUUCUGCACUUGUGACUGAAAAAUCCUUGUACAGGAACCAACCUUCUGGAAACUUCUCCCAUGUGUCAGGCCCACAGCACCUAGCACUGGAUGAGACACAUCACAAAUCCUGGACAAACUCUUGCUGAAACCAUGACAUGUCGAUGGCCCUUCACAGAAGACUUCACAAAAGGCUUCCCAUAACCCUAUUAAUGGAAAAAGGUGA
rnacentral:lncRNA from 10 species